rnacentral:rRNA from 1 species
CACAGAGGAGCUUGCUCCUUGGUGACGAGUGCGGACGGGUGAGUAAUGUCUGGGAUCUGCCCGAUAGACGGGAUAACCACUGGAAACGGUGGCUAAUACCGCAUAACGUCGCAAGACCAAAGACGGGACCUUCGGGCCUCUCACUAUCGGAUGAACCCAGAUGGAUUAGCUAGUAGGCCGGGUAAUGGCCCACCUAGGCGACGAUCCCUAGCUGGUCUGAGAGGAUGACCAGCCACACUGGAACUGAGACACGGUCCAGACUCC